AACAUUUUGUGUCAGAAUGUGUGUGUGCGCACGCAUGCGUGCGUGUCCUUGCUGACUGAUCAAAAAAAACUGUGCGGAAACGUGCCAGGGCAUAAUCUUUCCACCAAGGUCAUUUGAAAGUCAAUUGCUCUUGUGACAAAUUAGGCAGGCAAAGUGCUUUGAUAUGCGCUAAUGAAGAACAUUAAAUGCUUUUCGACUAAAUGCCACCAGGCCCAACGAACCUCUUUGCCCACUUGUGGCUAUUCAUACAAGAUCAUCGUAAGUUCCGAAUUUCUGUGACAUUUUGUUUUCACAUUUUACCAAUUACAAAUCUGCCGGGUUAAAGAAAGAGUCGCAUCGCUAACACAAAUGAUUAUGCAAAUGAGAUUUUUCUCAGAUUUUCCCGAAUAGCAGCAUUUGGAGAUCACAUUUACUGAAAUCAAAAGCUGUUUCAAUCAAAAACGUCGAAAGAGGUCAAGCUACGUUUUAACAUAGGACCCCUUAUAGAAUAGCAGCUUCACACUUCUCCGAUCCAUCGAAUUUGUGACUUUUUUUUGUUGAGUUUGCGCUUGAAUGUCUUUGCAGGAUGCCAGAAUAGCCUCCCAGAGCUGCUGUUCGGAUGGAACUGCGUCCCACCCUCAACGAUCGUUUGCUUUAGGAUGCUCCAAAAGUUCUCAACAGGGUUUAGAUCAGGGGAGGAUGGGGGGUGGGUACACCGUGUCCUUCUCUCCUUUCAUGCCCAUAGCCGCCAAUGAUACAGAGGUAUUCCUUGCAGCAUGAGAUGCCACUGAUGUGUGCCGUGUAAGCCUGGAUGGUCCAGAUGGAAGGACUAACGGAUGGCUACCAUUUCCCAACAAGGCUUUCACGUCAGCAACGAGGUGGCGGUGGCAUGUUUUGGCCCGCAAUCAGGUGGAGAGAGCUGGUCGCCCCCUGCAGUCCCUAAAGGUGUGACAAGGACCUCUGAAAAGUAUGUGAACCUUUUGACUGACCACUUUGAACCAUGCUGUCUCUUACAAAAUGAUCUUCAUACUUGACAAUUAGGGCGGGGAUGAAAAAAAACCCGAAUAAGUCGACUUCAAAUAUAGGUCGACGCAAAAGUUCUGCCUUGAAGCUCUGCAGGGACCAAAAAACAGACAAACAAAGGUUCCUCCCGGAACUGUGUUUGCGCCGCCGGAACCGAUGUUUCACAAGAACAUUUAUUGCAGAUGGACGCAGUGUUUGGACGUAGCUAAACUUCGCUAAAAACGACAGAGGAGCGUCUCUUUUCCUUUUCCCGGCGAGCUGUCGAAGAAUCCUCAGUCUGAUCGUCAAAACGUCGGGCCCGUGCAAAUAACUGCGGGAAUCGUCAGACGUAAGUGCAGCUUUUCUGCCUUGCCGUUCUUUUCUUUCAAGGUAGCGAGCGGCGUGUUGACGCCGGCACACACAAGGCCUCGCUUGUGCGCCAGCCUCCGUUUGGAUUUUCUCCGCAUCACCAGCACGGCAAAGCAAGCUCAAGUCAGAGGGGUCUGUCUAAUUCCUUUUUGUUUUUGUGGCUAUCCGGACGGAGGUGGACACGCCUUCACAGAUUCAUCAAAGCUCCUGAAACCCAAGGAAACAGGUCCACCUGUGAUAGGUGCCUUGAUGCAACUUUAAAGUAACCUUAAGCAUAGGUUACUCCUGACAAACCUUGCCGGAAGGACGUCACCCAUAUUCCUUUACGGCAGAAAUACUGAAAGCAACAGGCCACCGACAAAGUUUGCCAACUGGACACGAAGAUGCUCGAGAGUACGCAAGCUAAAGAAAAGAAAGCACCUAAAAAGAAGAAGCGACGAAUCACAAGUUAGAGGUGAUUCUGGACUCUUGGUGGGCCAGGUGUGCGGAUCGGGACGGCGGCGGCGUGCCAAGAGCCCGUUGGCAUGGCGACGCGGCACCAUGGAAACUUCUGGAAUCUGUCGCCGCCUGGCAAGGCCCCGAGGCUCCCCGAGCCGGACCGCUGUUGGCUUUGCCUCCAGCUGUUUCUUUACAGACGGCGGCGGGCCGGGGCCAAGAUCAGCCCACACACACGCCACUUACACACACGCACGCACACACACACACACACGCACACACACGCUAAGCCAGAGUUACACAAGCAUGCAAACAAAAAUACAAGCAUUUUCUGUAAUCGCCUUGUCUCUGCCAGGGCCUACAAAAAAAUUACCCAAAAAUAAGUUCACACGUCUGUUUUCCUCACACGUCCAUAUUUCUAAUUAUCCACCUUGUAUAAGAAAAUACGGUUUUAUUUACAGUGUGUUUUAUUUGUUAUGGUUCACUGCUCUGUGGUUUAUUUCUUUUUCGCUUUCUCUUUUUUCCAAACUUAGCACAGUUUGGUUUGUGUUUAUAAAUGCAACAUUUGUUCUAUUAAUUCUGACGUUGGCUGCACCGUCCGCGCCAGGAAGGCUGCCUAACCGCAGUGGGGACUUUCAGUAGAUGGCGCUAUUAAUGCACAGUACUGAUUCAGUUGCAAAAUCAGUGUGGAAAAAUAAUCAAAAUUGUAUUAAGUCUGAGAGCCAAAUUUAAGGCUAAGCUUAAGGCAAGCUAAGUGCGCUAGACUAACCUAAAAAAAGCUACGCCAAGCUAUGUAAAUUAGGCUAAGCUAAGAAGCCUGGUCCAAUAUAAACGGACUGGGUUGUAGGCCUUAGGCCCGCCGCCACUUGGACCAGACAAUUGUGAAAAAAUUACAGUUGGCGACUCACACCUGCACAUUGAGCGAUCGAAUAUAUGGCCGCCCUGAAUAUCGAGCGUGUAUAGAUAGGCAUUUGAGGCCACACAUACACUAUAUUCUACUUUAUCACUUUCAUUAAACCAUAAAAAGAUAAUGUGACAGUUAAGGAAGAAGCGGGUUGCUACAGAGAGUUGAAAUGGGCGAGAAUAAAAGAGAAGAGUGGGGAUACGGAACAUUGACUGAGAGGGUCAGCUCGCUUCCAUUCACUUGAACGCACCCGGCGCAGUAUGUACAUCGCUCGUGUACAUUUUGGAAACGUCAAGCCUUUGCUAUUUCAUCCACAUGUACAUUAUAAAUGAUAAAUAUGGUCAAGUAUUGUUGUAAAACACAAUAUAUGUAUACUUUAUAUAGUGCGUGUAUGGCUUGGCGGCAGCCGACUGGGUCUCGCUAGCUUAAAACCCUUAUUGUACUUUUAGCAUGUGUGAUUUUUUUUUUUUUACAUUUUUUAACCCAUUCCCUGCCAAUGCUGUCCGACGACGUCAUUCAGAAUCAAGCUAUUCACUGCCAAUGGCGUCUAAAGACGUCAAUGGCGUUUUUUAACAUGGAUGGGUGGGUGAGGGUCUUGUGCAGUUUAUGUGAGAUGCAAGCAUAAUGGCGGAGAAGAGAGUGGACAAAAUGAAAAAAAAAUAGCAAAAAAAAAAAAGCUUUCGGUACUAGAAAUUUAUUACGCCAUGGCAAGAAAAAUAUUCCUGUGACCGACGGGAAUGACGCCUUAGAUCAUGCAAGGGAAUAAAGAAUGACGCUCCGAGUGAUGCCUUUGUUGCAAAGCUAUCGCCCAAAAUGCCGGGCCACAUGGCGAGAUGCUCUCGGCCGCUUGUCAGCUGAUCGUCUGCCGACCAGGAUUUGAGUAAAUGGGAUCCGGAAUCGUCAGAUGUGAGUGAACUCCCUCUGGAUUGCCUGGAAGCAGUCGAGCGUCAUCCCGAGCUUCCUCCGGAUGAUAAUGGAGAUGAAGGUAACUCGUUUGCAGCUCGCGUUAGCUACAUUUAGCGAACAAACCCGCUACUUCAACUUGUUACGUAAAAACAUAAUUUAGCCCCACUAGUUCACGUUACAAUGUACUUGUAACAUCUGUUGUUGAAAAGUAAUGUUUUUUUGUUUUGCAAAAAGUCAUCAAUAAAAGUAAUCUCUCUCAAUCGUAUGUGUCACGCCGCAGUGGAACCAGGUGUUCCGAUCUCACCUUAUCUGUGGACCGACAAUUCGCCUUUUGUGCCAAUCUGACGAGACGUGGGAGAAAUAGAAAGAAACUAUAAUAAUACUUAUUAAAAGCGCAGUGCUGCUACACUGGGACUUUUUUUAAAA